AACAAAAGAUUGUGAUCUCUGUGGUGUUA
rnacentral:piRNA from 1 species